AGUCGUAACAAGGUUUCCGUAGGUGAACCUGCGGAAGGAUCAUUACUAGAGCAAAGGAUAGACAGCGCCCGUGGAGCUCGCUCCCGGGGCCACCCUACUCCGGUAGGGUUUAGAGUCGUCGGGCCUCUCGGAGAAGCUCGGUCCUGAACUCCACCCUUGAAUAAACUACCUUUGUUGCUUUGGCGGGCCGCCUCGUGCCAGCGGCUUCGGCUGUUGAGUGCCCGCCAGAGGACCACAACUCUUGUUUUUAGUGAUGUCUGAGUACUAUAUAAUAGUUAAAACUUUCAACAACGGAUCUCUUGGUUCUGGCAUCGAUGAAGAACGCAGCGAAAUGCGAUAAGUAAUGUGAAUUGCAGAAUUCAGUGAAUCAUCGAAUCUUUGAACGCACAUUGCGCCCUCUGGUAUUCCGGGGGGCAUGCCUGUUCGAGCGUCAUUAUAACCACUCAAGCUCUCGCUUGGUAUUGGGGUUCGCGGUUUCGCGGCCCCUAAAAUCAGUGGCGGUGCCUAUCGGCUCUACGCGUAGUAAUACUCCUCGCGAUUGAGUCCGGUAGGUCUACUUGCCAGCAACCCCUAAUUUUUUAAGGUUGACCUCGGAUCAGGUAGGGAUACCCGCUGAACUUAAGCAUAUCAAUAAGCGGAGGAAAAGAAACCAACAGGGAUUACCUCAGUAACGGCGAGUGAAGCGGUAACAGCUCAAAUUUGAAAGCUGGCUCUUUUAGGGUCCGCGUUGUAAUUUGUAGAAGAUGCUUCGGGUGUGGCCCCGGUCUAAGUUCCUUGGAACAGGACGUCAUAGAGGGUGAGAAUCCCGUAUGUGACUGGGUGCUUUCGCUCAUGUGAAGCUCUUUCGACGAGUCGAGUUGUUUGGGAAUGCAGCUCAAAAUGGGUGGUAAAUUUCAUCUAAAGCUAAAUAUUGGCCAGAGACCGAUAGCGCACAAGUAGAGUGAUCGAAAGAUGAAAAGCACUUUGGAAAGAGAGUUAAACAGUACGUGAAAUUGUUGAAAGGGAAGCGCUUGCAACCAGACUUGCGCGCUGAUGAUCAUCCGGGCUUCUGUCCGGUGCACUCGUCUGCGCUCAGGCCAGCAUCGGUUUCGGUGGUGGGAUAAAGGCCUUGGGAAUGUGGCUCCUCUCGGGGAGUGUUAUAGCCCUCGGUGCAAUACCGCCUACCGGGACCGAGGACCGCGCUUCGGCUAGGAUGCUGGCGUAAUGGUUGUAAGCGACC
rnacentral:rRNA from 1 species